AUGCUGCAAGGUUUGCAUGCCCCGGGAUGCAACGGGGAGGUUUCUGCAUGCAUGCAAGCACGCAUCAGGAGGAUGCUCUUUGCAAGCACCGGGGGAUUUUUGCACACAUGCAUGCACCAGGAGACUUUUUGCAAGCAUGGGUGCAAUUCAGAAGGCUUGCAUGCACGCAUGCAUGCACCAGGAGACUUUUUGCAAGCAUGGGUGCAAUUCAGAAGGCUUGCAUGCACGCAUGCAUGCACCAGGAGACUUUUUGCAAGCAUGGGUGCAAUUCAGAAGGCUUGCAUGCACGCAUGCAUGCACCAGGAGACUUUUUGCAAGCAUGGGUGCAAUUCAGAAGGCUUGCAUGCACGCAUGCAUGCACCAGGAGACUUUUUGCAAGCAUGGGUGCAAUUCAGAAGGCUUGCAUGCACGCAUGCAUGCACCAGGAGACUUUUUGCAAGCAUGGGUGCAAUUCAGAAGGCUUGCAUGCACGCAUGCAUGCACCAGGAGACUUUUUGCAAGCAUGGGUGCAAUUCAGAAGGCUUGCAUGCACGCAUGCAUGCACCAGGAGACUUUUUGCAAGCAUGGGUGCAAUUCAGAAGGCUUGCAUGCACGCAUGCAUGCACCAGGAGACUUUUUGCAAGCAUGGGUGCAAUUCAGAAGGCUUGCAUGCACGCAUGCAUGCACCAGGAGACUUUUUGCAAGCAUGGGUGCAAUUCAGAAGGCUUGCAUGCACGCAUGCAUGCACCAGGAGACUUUUUGCAAGCAUGGGUGCAAUUCAGAAGGCUUGCAUGCACGCAUGCAUGCACCAGGAGACUUUUUGCAAGCAUGGGUGCAAUUCAGAAGGCUUGCAUGCACGCAUGCAUGCACCAGGAGACUUUUUGCAAGCAUGGGUGCAAUUCAGAAGGCUUGCAUGCACGCAUGCAUGCACCAGGAGACUUUUUGCAAGCAUGGGUGCAAUUCAGAAGGCUUGCAUGCACGCAUGCAUGCACCAGGAGACUUUUUGCAAGCAUGGGUGCAAUUCAGAAGGCUUGCAUGCACGCAUGCAUGCACCAGGAGACUUUUUGCAAGCAUGGGUGCAAUUCAGAAGGCUUGCAUGCACGCAUGCAUGCACCAGGAGACUUUUUGCAAGCAUGGGUGCAAUUCAGAAGGCUUGCAUGCACGCAUGCAUGCACCAGGAGACUUUUUGCAAGCAUGGGUGCAAUUCAGAAGGCUUGCAUGCACGCAUGCAUGCACCAUGAGACUUCUUGCCAGCAUGGGUGCAAUGGAGAGAUUCUACACGCACACAUGCAUGCAGCAGGGGAUUUUUGCACACGUGCCCUGCAGACCUUGCCCCAAGCGUUGCUCCUGACUCACCAUCACCUCCCAGCGCCGUCCUUGUUCCAUGCUGACCGUGUGCCCAUAGAUGCUCACUAUCACCUUCUUCACCAGCGCCACGUCGCCCCGUCCCCCUCCGUCGUGCUCCAGCAGCACCGAGAAGUUGGCCAAGCCACGCUCAGGUUUGCAGACUUUGGCCAGCACGUAGCUGCAGGAACCUCGCAGGUCGAAAGCUCUACCAUCAAACGUCACGUAGUGGGGGUCUCCUGA
ensembl:lncRNA